GACAAUCUAUAUUCAAAAUAAUGACUUGUUAUUGGUAAAGCACUGGAUAGAACUAGCUAAUCUAACAAGACUAGAUGUAAAAGUUAACAAGUGAAAUUAUAAUAUUGCCCAGGAGUGGUGAUUGAUAAGUUACUUUGUAGUAAAUCCAAAUAAAAAUAAAAAUAAAAAACUACUAUAACAGUGAAGCAGAAAGGUAUGAAGUGUAAUGGCCAUUAUGGUAGUGAUUUUCAAAGGGGUACUAUGUAAUGGCCUUUACUAGCUGAAAAAAUGUCUAUGGCUUUUUUAAUGUUAUUAUAUAUUUUUUUCUCA
rnacentral:misc_RNA from 1 species